rnacentral:rRNA from 1 species
UAUAAAUAAAUAGUUUAAAAUUAAUAAAAUUAAUUUUAAUUUUAAAAUAAUAUAUAUAGGGGUUAAAGUAUUAUUUAAAGAAAAAAUUAAUAAUUUUAUAGUGUAUUAGUAUUGUAAAUGAAUUUUGAAAUAUUUGAAAAUAAAUUUAUUUAAAGUAAUUUUUAUUUAAUGUAUCUUGUGUAUCAGAGUUUAUUAAAAUUUUUAAUUUAAUUUUAAUUUCUCGAAUUUAAAGAGCUAAAUAAUUAAAAAAUUUAAUGUAAUAAAAUUAUUUUAAAUAAUUAUUUUGAAAUGAAAUGUUAGUCGUUUUUAAAUAUAUCUAGUUUUUUUAGAAAAAAAUUUAAUUUUAAAUUAAUUAUACAAUAAACUUAAUUAAUAAUUUUUAUUGGGGGAUAAAUUUUAUAUUUUAAGGGAUAAGCUUUAAUAAUUAAAUUUUUAUAAUAAAAUAUAUUUAUUUUGAAAAUUAUAUGAUUUAUAUUGUUAAUAAAUUUUAUUUUAUUAUAAAUAAUUUCAAAAAAAAAAUAAAAUUUAAUAUAUAAUAUUUAAUUUUUUAUAAAAAAUUAAAUUUUAAUAAUAAAAAUUUAGUAAUAAUGAUAAAAUUAGUAUAUAAAAUAAAAAUAAAAAAUAAAUAUAAAUUUUUAAUUAAAUUAAUUAAAAGGAAUUCGGCAAAAUUUUAUUUUUACUUGUUUAUCAAAAACAUGUCUUUUUGAGGUUUAUUUAAAGUCUAAUCUGCCCACUGAUUUAAAUUAAAGGGCUGCAGUAUUUUGACUGUACAAAGGUAGCAUAAUCAUUAGUCUCUUAAUUGGUGACUUGUAUGAAAGAUUGGAUAAAAAAUAUACUGUCUCUUAAUUAUUAUAUAGAAUUUAAUUUUUUAUUUAAAAAGUUAAAAUAAUUUAAAAAGACGAGAAGACCCUAUAGAGUUUUAUAAAUAUUUUUAUAAAAUAUUAUUUAUAUUUAUUAAAAUAGUUAUAAAUUUAUUUAUUUUAUUGGGGUGAUAGAAAAAUAAAUUUAACUUUUUUUAAUAAAAUAAACAAAAAUAAAUGAUUUAAUGAUCCAAUUUUAUUGAUUAUAAGAUUAAAUUACCUUAGGGAUAACAGCGUAAUUAUUUUUUUUAGUUCUAAUAAGAAAAAUAGUUUGCGACCUCGAUGUUGGAUUAAGAUAAAAUUUAAAUGCAAAAGUUUAAAAUUUUUGAUCUGUUCGAUCAUUAAAAUCUUACAUGAUCUGAGUUCAAACCGGUGUGAGCCAGGUUGGUUUCUAUCUUUUAUAAUAUUAUAUAUUUUAGUACGAAAGGAUCAAAUAUUUUAAUUAAAUUAAUAAUUUAUAAUUUGAAUUUUAAUAAAAUUAAAUUAGAAAAUUUUAAUUAUUAUAUCUAAUAUGAAAUUAAUAUUAGAAGCAUAUAUAUAUAUAUAUAU